UAUGUGAUCGUCUCUCGCAUAUCAAUAAGCGGAGGAAAAGAAACUAACAAGGAUUCCCCUAGUAACGGCGAGUGAAGCGGGAAGAGCUCAAAUUUGAAAUCUUAAAGGGUUUCCCUUUACGAAUUGUAGUUUAAAGAAGUGUUUUCUGUUGAGGUUUUGGUAAAAGUUCUUUGGAAUAGGACAUCAUAGAGGGUGAGAAUCCCGUAUUUGACCUUUACUUUCAACUUUGUGAUACACUUUCAAAGAGUCGGAUUGUUUGGGAAUGCAGUCCAAAAUGGGUGGUAAAUUUCAUCUAAAGCUAAAUAUUGGCGAGAGACCGAUAGGCGAACAAGUACCGUGAGGGAAAGACGAAAAGAACUUUGAAAAGAGAGUUAAACAGUACGUGAAAUUGUCAAAAGGGAAGCGUUUGACACCAGUGUUGUUUUUCUGAAAAUCAAUUAAAGAACUGUUUAUGCUAAGCUGUUUAGACUUUAUCAGCUAUCUGUUUAGUUUUGAGCUUUUCUUUAAUGCACUUUUCAGUUAACAAGUCAACAUCAAUUUCUUUUGCUGUAAAAAAGCUUGAGGAAGGUGGCUUGAGAUUCGUCUUAAGUGUUUAUAGCCUCUUGCCUAUGCAGUCGGAGAGAUUGAGGUCUGCAGCGUAGAUCCUUCGGGGCUAAAUGCAUUUGUGCUAAGUUAUAGCAUUUUAUAGACAACUUGUUGACUAUGAUUUGUCUUGUAGCUUACUCGCUUAUGUUAUUUUACCUACGCUUAGGAUGUUGAGCGCAUGUCUCUCUCU
rnacentral:rRNA from 1 species